UUCCCCACUUUGAAGAUCAUCUGAGAGAAUAGUUAUCAUUUUCGCUGCAGUCCUUUUAUGCAACAUGGAGUUUUGCUGACAAUGUUCAUGUGUGGAUGCAGAGCUGAUAAAUGUUGGGCGGAAGCAAGGUGCUCUGCAAGAACUACACGAUCUUAUUACCUCGAAGAGAUCGCAAGCAUGGCAAAAUACCCUUGAGAGGAUUAUGUUUAAGUACAUUGAGCUAUGUGUUGAUAUGCGGAGGGGGAGAUUUGCCAAGGAUGAUCUGAUU